rnacentral:lncRNA from 1 species
UGUAAAUGUGCAAACAAUUCUAAUAACCUGUUUGCUUUGACAUUAUGGGGCAUUGUGUGUAGAUUGAGGGGGGGAACUAUUUAAUCAAUUUUAGAAUAAGGCUGUAACACAACAAAAUGUUGAAAAAGUGAAGGGGUCUGAAUACUUUCUGAGUGCACUGUAUAUAUUGCACAUAAACAGUUAUAGGAAUCUCCUUACAGCAAUGCCUCGGUAUGCCUUGAGACGUUCACAUUUGAGCUUUCUUUGUUGCAAGUGCAUGAUAACAAAUGAAUAACAUGAGAGAAAAGAGAGACCCGCAUGCUACUCUUGCUACUGUCACUCUUCUUGAUGAAGACCUUGAGGCUGAUACGUAAAACUUAAAAAAUAACAUUGAUACUAACAAGAGCAGCAUGGGAGUUUCUGUUUUCUCUUAAGCAAUGCCUCGGUAUAAAAGCACUGGUUACAAUUUACAGUGUAGUAUAUUACUCCAUGAUCAUUUUGUUUCAUUUUUAAAAAGGUCCUUAGAUGUGUUUCUAAAAAUCAUCAACAGUGUACUGUCCACUGUCCUUAUUUAUCCCUGCUAACUGUUUUUUCACAGGCAAAUUUAGUUUAGAAAUAUUGCUUAUCCGAAAGAAGUUAGACUGGUUUUUAGUCCCUCUGAUGUGAAUGUCGCAUACCGUCGGUAAUGUUGGCUUUGCAUUAUGAAGAGGUAAGUAGUGACUUUUUCUUAGCCAUCACUAGUCCCAGGUGGCGUUGUGAGCAGUACGUGCUGUCGUUUCACCAUUCACAAAAAGAUUCUAGAAGGUUCUAAGGCUAAAUCAACUUUUUUCUACUAGAUUAUAACGCUUAGUUAUUUAAUUUAAUAGCGAAAGCUUUGGAUAAUCUAUUUUUUUCUUAGUAUUAUUUUACCAGGGAAAUUGACUGAGAACACAUUCUCAUUUACAGCAACGACCUGGGGAAUAGUUACAGGAGGAUGAAUGAGCCUAAAAUUGUCACCAGUACUAUUUCAGGGGAUUGGAUGUUUGUAUGAAAUGUAUAUUUUACUGUGCUGCAUGUGUUUGUUGUUUCUCUGGCCAGUCUUGUCUUUGUGUUAAGGAUGUGUCCCGUUCUCGUCAGUCAUCAGCUCAUCGAUUAAUCUUCCAGGAAGCAUUUUUCAGGGGAUCGAAUGUUUCUAUGAAAUGUGAAUUUUUACUGUGCUGCAUGUGUUUGUUGUUUCUCUGGCCAGUCUUGUCUUUGUGUUAAGGAUGUGUCUCGUUCUCGUCAGUCAUCAGCUUUUUGAUUAAUCCUCCAGGAAGCAUUUUGCAGCAGGUUGUACCACAUCAUGCACUGUAGUAAAUGCACAUUAACACCCCAUACUAGUGUAUUAUGACUUCCCUUUGUGUUCCACAUGAAAGGAGUGAACAGGGAUUAUUCACAUGUUUGAGUGUCACAGGAGCUUGGGAAAGAGCAACACUUCAUGCUGGAAAAGGAUGAAAGAAGGAUAGACUUGCGCCGUUGAAAAAGUGGAAGAGUCAGAACUGUAAAACUGUACAAUGUGCAGAGUUUUACCUGAAGAUGUUUUAUGUCAUUAACAAACAUCUGGUUGAUACCGUGUUAAACGAGGAAUUCAUCUGACAAGGGAUAGACACUUUGGUGAGUACAUUUUCUAAUGCUGUCAGUGGUUACCAUUUUUUAUCUUAUUGCAUUUAGCCAGAGUCAUUAUUUACUAUGUGAACUAAUUGUAAUUUGUACAUAUAAUAUUAGAUUUCAAUCAUAAUAAUUGCUAUAAUGUUAUUUUUUAAUAAAG